rnacentral:lncRNA from 1 species
AAACGCAUGGAAUGAUCAGAGGAACCCAUAUCAGGAGGAUAACAUGAACAAGGUACAAGUAAGCCUCCAUGUGAGCCUGCACAGCAGCCGCCCUAUAUUGCAGUUUGCCCACCUGGGCCUCCUUGUCCAACCGUUUGCCCUUUUCCACCAAUGAAACUUGUUGGUGAUAAGACAGUGUGCCCACCUGGGUUUAUUGAUCCAGGUGAUGGAAAUUAUCCUCCUCAACCAGUGGGAUUUUGUGGUACUGCUGAAUGGAUGAAUAGGCAGAAGGAAAAAAAGGAAAGGAAGAAGCAGAAGAAGGCAUUGAAAAAGUUGAGGAAGGAAAAGAACAAGAAGCUUGAAGAGUGUGACAAUGGCCUGACUGCCAAAGAAAAUGAAUUCUUCAACAGGACGAAAUUGGAAAUAAAGAUUUUGAAAACCAAGAUGAAGCAAGCCAAGAGAAGGAACAAGGGGGGAUCCGGCGAUGGCACAUGUGGCCUGACACCUGUCGAGAUGGAGGAGUUAACGAAGAAGAAGUCUCAAUUGAAACCUUUGAAGGAGAAGAAGAAACUUCACAAGAAAAACAAGGAGGGGCCCAGCUCGGAUGAUUCCGACACUGGCCUGACCCAAGAAGAGUAUAUAUGCUGGAAAACGUCAAAGACUGAAAAGAAACUUUUGAAGAAGAAAGCAAAAAAGAGAGCAACCGACGGUACUGCUGUUGGCUUGACAUGCACUGAAAAGGAAUGUCUCGUGGAACUGGAGAAUAAAUUGAAGGUGUUGAAGAAAAAGAAAAAAGCCUUCAAGAAAAAAAACAAGCCUGCUUCGGAUUCCGAUUCCGACUCUGACGUUGGACUGAAUGCUGAGGAGUUUCAAUGCUGGAAGACAAAUAAGUGCCAAAUUAAGUGCUUGAAGAAGAAGAAGAAGCAAGCCAAAAAGGCUCAUAAAAGGGCUACCAAGGAUGCUCCAUGUGCUGGCGUCGUUGAUUUCCUGACACCCAAGGAAAUGGAAGAGAUGAAGAAUCUGAAGGCAAAGAUGAAGGCACUGAAGCAAAAGAAGAGAGAAUACAAGAAAAAGAAUAAUAUUGAGGUUUCUUCAAGUUCAAGUGACUCUGAUGAAAAUCUGACACCGGAGCAAAAGCAAUAUAAAAAGCAGAUGAAGGAGCAAGGAAAGAUGUGCAAGAAAAUGAUGAAACAGCAAAAGAAGGCUGAGAAAGGCAAAAACAAGAAGCCUGGAGAUCCCGAGUUGAGUGAUUCCUCUGAUUCAUCCUCCAGCUCUUCAAGUUCUUCCUCCUCUUCCUCCAGUGAUAAUGAGUGCGGUGCAUGUCCCACCAAAUCCAAACCACCAUGUCCCCAAAUGCAGCAAAAGUGUCCUGGGUUGCCAAAAUAGUGAUGGAGUUUUCCAAAGGGUCACACUGGCCAUUAGGUCUCGUGACCAACACACGGCCUAUUUUUGCUUUUUCAUUCAGCUUCUAAUUAGUUAGCCUUGGCUAAAAUGGGUCAGUUUUGCAACAAAAAAUAUUUUACCUUGCUUUUCUUACAGGAACAUUCAUUUUAAUCACCAAAAACAAUCAUUAACUUUCUCAAUGCUGGUGAGUUUCUGUUUUAACGAUUUUUUUUUACCUCUCUCAUAAGAUGAGUUGAAACCCUUGAAAGGCUGAGUUUGGAAGUUGAAAGAAUAAUGUUGUACUGCUUGAUCCAACAGACUUGUGUUUUAAAAACUCCAGUUAUAAAAUGCUGAAAGAUACAAGAAACUUUUUUUUCUGAAAGACAUGUUCAGAAGUUUGCCGUUUUGACCACGGAGUGGUCUUUAACUGAGACGAAGCAGGACAUAUUGUAGCCAAACUCUGACUAUACCCCUUGAGAGAGGCUGAGGUGUGGGGGGGGGGGAUCCAAUGUCAAAAGAAGGAAGGGGUAGGAAAGAGGAACAUGAGAAAGGAGAAAAGGAAGAAGAGUUGGGUUGAAAGGAAUGAACGGGGCAGCUGAAACCAGAUACACUCACCCCACUCUCUUUUCUCCUUCACUCCUAUCAACUACUCCAAUUUCCCCCCACUGCCACUUUCCUCAACCUUCCCCCUUCACUCUCUUCUUCAUUCAUCCACCAUUUCCCUCCCCUUUCUCACAAUCCUUUGGUCUGCCACCAGCUCAGCGUACCUGUCCUGCUACGUCCCAGUUGAAGUGCACUUUGUGUUCAAUACACUGAAGCUCUGAGACUUUACUGUCCAAAAAAAAAAAUUCGUUAUUUGGUGAUAUUUUGUUUUCAUUGUUUUGUAAUCUCUGCACCUUUGAAAUGUGAUCUAAACUACACUUCGUUUGUCCUUUGUCAUGCAAUCAUGAUUUAUUGUGGUGGAUUAUUCAGGAUUAUAUGGGAAUUUUUUCUGUAUCCGAGGGAAUGGUGAAAUAAACGAUUAAAACUUUAUUGCAGCAUCUUAUUCAAACAAAUAAAUUCUUAUCGAACUUUGUUUCUUAUUUGGAUACUUCAGUUACAAGGUAAAUGGAAGAGCUAGUUGACAAAGGGUAAAAUAUAAUGUACUGAUAGGACAGUGUGGCAACAGUCAGACAUGAUGAGGAAAGACAAUAACUGGCAAGUAAGAGGGUUAGGCUCUGAUUUUGAUGGAACAUACUCUGUCACAGAGCAUUGGUGCUGUUAAAGUAGUUUAUUGGCAAUAGUUAUACUAGGU